AGCAGUUAUUUAUUGUGAGAAGUUUGUUAUAGUGUGAAGUUUGCGUCUCUUGUGCAGCCAUACAGUCGUUCUGAGCCACACCCUAAGUGAGCUGCUGUGGCUUUUUUAGAGCGCACCCCUUUACCAGCAGUCACUGAGCAAGGCUUAUUCAAAAGCCAUGACGCCACACUUGAUGUCGGUCCCUCUGAUUCUGCUAUGGCAGUUGCUGUGUUGCGUGGAGGCCCUUCGAGUGAGUCAGUUCCCGCCAGACUUGGUCCUAAAUCCCCAAGCUUCACUGAAAGUCAACUGCACAAUAUUUGAUGUCCCCAACCCAAACCUGUUCUGGUACCGGCAGAGAGCCUCCGGGGAGAUGGAGCUGAAGUUCUUCUCCAUAGGAGUACGCAAUAUGGACCCGAAAGAAGAAGUGGACGGGUUCAGGGCCAGUAGGCCUGUGGACCUGCAGCUGUUGUUAGAGUCUGAUGGUGUACAGCUGGCAGAACCGGCUGUAUGGUUCUGCGCUGCCAGUCAAGCACAGUGAC